GACAGCGUGGCUUAGUGGAAAGAGCAUGAUCUUAGAAAUCAGAGGUCAUGGGUUCUAAUCCCGACUCCGCCA
rnacentral:tRNA from 1 species